rnacentral:lncRNA from 1 species
CUGCUUUUUGUGUGCCCAGCCCCAUUUGCCCAGUCUGCCCGCCUCUGUGAUCCCCCGCAGCACUGGCUGGAAGUCCGCCGCGUGUCAGUGAGGAGCUGCUGCAGAAGGAAGAAGAAGAAGCAGCGGCGUGGGGACCUGGGAGGCAGGAGCAAGCAAGAAGAGGAAGCGGAAGCGUGCAGAUGUGGGGGGGAAGGAGAGAGGCUCCCUGGGCAAAGCACCUGUCCCGUUAGCAGGGGCACAGUCACGUUUGAGUUGAGAGCUGCCGGCGCCUUUGGUGACCAGGCUGGCGUUGUGCUGGGCGACCUCCCCGUAAGCGGGGCUCGGGUCUUUGCUGUAGUUGGCCUUU